ensembl:snoRNA SNORA70 Small nucleolar RNA SNORA70
UUGCAGCUAAUUAAGCCGACCAGUUCCCUUUCCCCAUGGGAGCCUGGUGUGCAAUGGUUGCAAACAGCAGCCUCCUUGGUAGUGUAUGCAGCCUGUUGCCCANNN